rnacentral:rRNA from 1 species
CCGGCACGGGUGGAGUAACACGUAUGCAAUCCACCUGUAACAGGGGGAGUAACCCGGACGAAAUACCGGACUAAUACCCCAUAAUAUGGGGCGCCCGCAUGGAGAGCCCAUUAAAGAGAGCAAUUUUGGUUACAGACGAGCAUGCGCUCCAUUAGCCAGUUGGCGGGGUAACGGCCCACCAAAGCGACGAUGGAUAGGGGUUCUGAGAGGAAGGUCCCCCACAUUGGAACUGAGACACGGUCCAA